UACGUAGGGACCGAGCGUUGUCCGGAUUCAUUGGGCGUAAAGGGCUCGUAGGCGGUCUGUCGCGUCUGCUGUGAAAACUCAGGGCUUAACCCUGAGCUUGCAGUGGGUACGGGCAGACUAGAGUGCGGUAGGGGAGACUGGAAUUCCUGGUGUAGCGGUGAAAUGCGCAGAUAUCAGGAGGAACACCGGUGGCGAAGGCGGGUCUCUGGGCCGUAACUGACGCUGAGGAGCGAAAGCAUGGGGAGCGAACAGG
rnacentral:rRNA from 1 species